GCACCAGUGGUCUAGUGGUAGAAUAGUACCCGUCCCACGAUAUAGACCUGGGUUCGAUUCUUGGCUGGUGCA
rfam:Ipomoea nil DNA, scaffold: scaffold1615, cultivar: Tokyo-kokei standard.